GACGAACGCUGGCGGCGUGCUUAACACAUGCAAGUCGAACGAAGAGCGAUGGAAGCUUGCUUCUAUCAAUCUUAGUGGCGAACGGGUGAGUAACGCGUAAUCAACCUGCCCUUCAGAGGGGGACAACAGUUGGAAACGACUGCUAAUACCGCAUACGAUCUAAUCUCGGCAUCGAGGAUAGAUGAAAGGUGGCCUCUACAUGUAAGCUAUCACUGAAGGAGGGGAUUGCGUCUGAUUAGCUAGUUGGAGGGGUAACGGCCCACCAAGGCGAUGAUCAGUAGCCGGUCUGAGAGGAUGAACGGCCACAUUGGGACUGAGACACGGCCCAGACUCCUACGGGAGGCAGCAGUGGGGAAUCUUCCGCAAUGGACGAAAGUCUGACGGAGCAACGCCGCGUGAGUGAUGACGGCCUUCGGGUUGUAAAGCUCUGUUAAUCGGGACGAAAGGCCUUCUUGCGAAUAGUGAGAAGGAUUGACGGUACCGGAAUAGAAAGCCCG
rnacentral:rRNA from 1 species